rnacentral:rRNA from 1 species
UUAUAUGAGAGUUUGAUCCUGGCUCAGGACGAACGCUGGCGGCGUGCCUAAUACAUGCAAGUCGAACGCACGAAGUUGAAGAGCUUGCU